rnacentral:rRNA from 1 species
GAUGAACGCUGGCGGCGUGCCUAAUACAUGCAAGUCGAGCGAAUGGAUUAAGAGCUUGCUCUUAUGAAGUUAGCGGCGGACGGGUGAGUAACACGUGGGUAACCUGCCCAUAAGACUGGGAUAACUCCGGGAAACCGGGGCUAAUACCGGAUAACAUUUUGAACCGCAUGGUUCGAAAUUGAAAGGCGGCUUCGGCUGUCACUUAUGGAUGGACCCGCGUCGCAUUAGCUAGUUGGUGAGGUAACGGCUCACCAAGGCAACGAUGCGUAGCCGACCUGAGAGGGUGGUCGGCCACACUGGGACUGGAACACGGCCCAGACUCCUACGGGAGGCAGCAGUAGGGAAUCUUCCGCAAUGGACGAAAGUCGGACGGAGCAACGCCGCGUGAGUGAUGAAGGCUUUCGGGUCGUAAAACUCUGUUGUUAGGGAAGAACAAGUGCUAGUUGAAUAAGCUGGCACCUUGACGGUACCUAACCAGAAAGCCACGGCUAACUACGUGCCAGCAGCCGCCGUAA